AGAAUCAACGCUGGCGGCGUGCCUAACACAUGCAAGUCGAACGAGAAAGUGGAGCAAUCCAUGAGUAAAGUGGCGCACGGGUGAGUAACACGUGACUAACCUACCCUUGAGUGGGGGAUAACCUCGGGAAACCGGGGCUAAUACCGCAUAACAUCGAGAGAUCAAAGGAGCAAUUCGCUUAAGGAGGGGGUCGCGGCUGAUUAGCUAGUUGGUGAGGUAAUGGCUCACCAAGGCUAUGAUCAGUAUCCGGCCUGAGAGGGCGCACGGACACACUGGAACUGAAACACGGUCCAGGCUCCUACGGGAGGCAGCAGUGGGGAAUUUUGCGCAAUGGGGGAAACCCUGACGCAGCAACGCCGCGUGGAGGAUGAAGUCCCUUGGACGUAAACUCCUUUCGAUCGGGACGAUAAUGACGGUACCGGAAGAAGAAGCCCGGCUAACUUCGACGCCAGCAGCCGC
rnacentral:rRNA from 1 species